CCGCGCGCCGGGGUACGCGGGGCAGUGCGCAGGCGCUGUCUCCAGGGUCGUUUGGCUUUGCUCUGGCUCUGCAUCUGCUUCCCCGGGGUGUAAGUUGACGGGAGUGUCUUCUGUCGGAGAAAGAGACCCCCACACCCCCCCAACCGGGCCGCCGACUCACCCCACACCCAUUUUAAGUGGGUGGUGGGGCAAGUGGCCGCGCAGAGUUGUGUUGUGUGAUGAAGAAGAAGGGCGCGCCCCUCCCCCCACCCCCCCGACAUUUUGGACCGAGACCUUCUCCACCUAUCGCCCUCAGGCAGCGCCGGUUACAGAUGCAGCUCUUUGCGAUCCACUUGCUUUUGGACCAGGCUCGUUCGUGCUUUUAUCUUUUAAGCAGGCUGUCCUGAGAAAUGUGUGUGUGCGGUGCAUCAUACUAGAGGGGGAACCUCCGUCCUGCCGGACGUGCGUUGUCACAAUUCCGCCAGCCAACCCUCUUCCAGCAAUUCAGCAGGACCAUUUGGACCAAGUUUAUUUACAAAACACUUUCACUUGCCUUGUACUGAAAGGGGAUUGGCGUACAAGAAUAAAUAAGUUUAAAAAAACAAAUGUGCAGGGGCCACACCUGGAGUAGUGUGUGCAGUUUUAGCCUCUACAUUUAAGGAUGGAUAUACUUGCAUUCGAUGAGGUACAGCGACUGUUCACUUACGUUAGUUUCUGCCAUGAGAGGGUUGUCCUAUGAUGAGAGACUGAGUAAACUGGGCCUGUACCCUGCAAUUUAAGAGGAACGAGAGGUAAUCUGACUAUAAUGUAGAAGGUUCUGAAGGAGCUUGAUAAGGUAGGCUCUGAGAGGUCAUUUUCCCCCAGCCGGGGAAUUUAGAACAAGGCGUCAUGGUUUCAGGAUAAAGAGCUAGCUGUUUAGAACCGAGAUGAGAAAUUUCUUCAUUCAAAGGGUUGUUACUUCCUUGGAAUUCUCUACCCCAGAGGGUUGUGGCUGCUCCAUCAUUGAACAGAUUUAAGGCUGAGAGUGACUUUGGUGUCUUGUGCUGAAUCUCUUAUAGCCAGACGGUGAAGGUGACCAGAAGUCAACCUUUACCUACUUUUUAAGAUUUAUUCAUAAAGUGAGACAUUACAACCCACUCUACAACCUAACUCUACAACCCACUGCCUGUAUCAAAAAGUGUUUCUUUAUAUUCUUUUGAGCAUCAAUUAACUAAUAAAACAAACUAAUUAACCAGCCCUUAAAGGGGCACUGUAACUAAAACAAAAAUGUCAAAGGAAGCUUAAGUUAAAACAUUAUGGGAAGUGAUACUGCGCUGCAGCCCCUACAGUGGCCACCGGUUGUGAAAGACCUCAAGUGUACCAGCGGCCAACCUGUGCUUCCUCUCCAAGGACACCUGGACAUAGAUGGUCCACGUGGCUGAUGCUUUCACCUCCAUGGGUGGCAGCAGCAGACAUGCUGCCAUCUGCACAGAGCAGGCCGCACUAAGCAGCUCAGGAUCUCAAAUCUGGAGUGUAGGCAGCAGCAUCUCCGACCUAGGAGCAGGCGGCCAUAAGAAUUGCUGAGUCAGAGGCUACAUUCUUCUACCACACUGCAGAAUUCCAAUUUCCAUUGGCAGCAGCGCUUUCGGCACUGGAUUUUCCUCCCUUAACCUCUCCAACACUCCUUUGAAGGUGCUCCUUAAACCAUACCUCGUUGUCUAAGCAUUUGGUCAACAGUUUCCAUUCUCCAUGUAAAUGUCUGUCUGAUGAUGCUCCUGUGAGGUGCCCAAUAACAUUUCACUAUGUAAACAUCCUAUAUCAAUACAAGUUGUUAAUUGUUCAUGCCUAUGUAAAUAAAAUGC